UACGUAGGGUGCAAGCGUUGUCCGGAAUUAUUGGGCGUAAAGAGCUUGUAGGCGGUUUGUCGCGUCUGCUGUGAAAUUUCGGGGCUCAACCCCGAACUUGCAGUGGGUACGGGCAGACUAGAGUGUGGUAGGGGAGACUGGAAUUCCUGGUGUAGCGGUGAAAUGCGCAGAUAUCAGGAGGAACACCGAUGGCGAAGGCAGGUCUCUGGGCCACUACUGACGUGAGAAGCGAAAGCAUGGGGAG
rnacentral:rRNA from 1 species